rnacentral:rRNA from 1 species
UACGGAGGGGGCAAGCGUUGUCCGGAAUCAUUGGGCGUAAAGAGCGUGUAGGCGGCCAGAUAAGUCCGCUGUGAAAUCUCGAGGCUCAACUUCGAGCUGUCGGUGGAAACUGUCUGGCUAGAGUCCGGAAGAGGAGAAUGGAAUUCCUGGUGUAGCGGUGAAAUGCGCAGAUAUCAGGAAGAACACCCGUGGCGAAGGCGGUUCUCUGGGACGGUACUGACGCUGAGACGCGAAAGCGUGGGGAGCGAACCGG